rnacentral:rRNA from 1 species
CCUACGGGUGGCAGCAGUGAGGAAUAUUGGUCAAUGGGCGCGAGCCUGAACCAGCCAAGUAGCGUGAAGGAUGACUGCCCUACGGGUUGUAAACUUCUUUUAUCAAGGAGUAAAGUGAGGCACGUGUGCCUUUUUGUAUGUACUUUAUGAAUAAGGCACGGCUAACUCCGUGCCAGCAGCCCCGGUAAUACGGAGGAACCGAGCGUUAGCCGGAUUUAUUGGGUUUAAAGGGAGCGUAGAUGGGUUGUUAAGUCAGUUGUGAAAGGUUGGGGCUCAACCGUAGAAGUGCAAUUGAUACUGGCAGCCUUGAGUACAGGAGAGGUAGGCGGAAUGCGUGGUGUAGCGGUGAAAUGCUUAGAUAUCACGAAGAACUCCGAUGGCGAAGGCAGCCUACUAAACUGCCACUGACAUUGAUGCUCGAAAGUGUGGGUAGCAAACAGGAUUAGAUACCCGUGUAGUC